UAGGGAAUCUUCGGCAAUGGGGGGAACCCUGACCGAGCAACGCCGCGUGAGUGAAGAAGGUUUUCGGAUCGUAAAGCUCUGUUGUUAAGGAAGAACGAGUGUGAGAAUGGAAAGUUCAUACUGUGACGGUACUUAACCAGAAAGGGACGGCUAACUACGUGCCAGCAGCCGCGGUAAUACGUAGGUCCCGAGCGUUGUCCGGAUUUAUUGGCGUAAAGCGAGCGCAGGCGGUUAGAUAAGUCUGAAGUUAAAGGCAGUGGCUCAACCAUUGUAGGCUUUGGAAACUGUUUAACUUGAGUGCAGAAGGGGAGAGUGGAAUUCCAUGUGUAGCGGUGAAAUGCGUAGAUAUAUGGAGGAACACCGGUGGCGAAAGCGGCUCUCUGGUCUGUAACUGACGCUGAGGCUCGAAAGCGUGGGGAGCGAACAGG
rnacentral:rRNA from 1 species